rnacentral:rRNA from 1 species
AUGCAGCCAAUCGGCACAUCCACUCGGCUUGAGGAAGUACGAGAGAGCUUGGUGCCUGCAAAUGGCGCUAUGGUGGCGGAGCAGCAUCGGCCGGUGGACAGCGGCGAGGCACAUAUUUUUGCGGCCAAGGAAGCAUCAGCGGACAGGAGGGAGAGCUCGCCUCCGACAUCGGAGCUGUCAACGGGCAAGAUGAAUCCCCAGGCGCCCGGGUGGAACAAGAGAUUAGGUGCUGCCGCAACGAGCAAAACACCCUGCCCAAAUCAAAUCAGUGAGUUCGAGAAGGAUGUUAGGUGUUUUGCUGAGAACCCAGCUGAAAAUUUGAUCAAACCAGUUCUUGCGACUACUUUCGACUCUUUGGGCGAGGCGUACGACUUCUACAAUCUGUACUCACGAGAAGAGCCGGCUUAUUGUCAAGAGGACGAAAUGCAUGCAGGAAAUAGUGUGUGGGUGCUCGGGUAA